GGCGCUAUCGUCUAGUCCGGUUUAGGACACCACGCUUUCAAUGUGGUAACCCGGGUUCGAAUCCCGGUGGCGCUA
rnacentral:tRNA from 3 species